rnacentral:rRNA from 1 species
GACGAACGCUGGCGGCGUGCCUAACACAUGCAAGUCGAGCGAGAGACUUCGGUCUCUAGCGGCGGACGGGUGAGUAACACGUGGGUAACCUGCCUCAGACAGGGGGAUAGCCUUCCGAAAGGAAGAUUAAUACCGCAUAACAUAGUUUAGCCGCAUGGCUAGAUUAUCAAAGGAGUAAUCCGGUUUGAGAUGGACCCGCGGCGCAUUAGCUAGUUGGUGAGGUAAUGGCUCACCAAGGCGACGAUGCGUAGCCGACCUGAGAGGGUGAUCGGCCACAUUGGAACUGAGAUACGGUCCAAACUCCUACGGGUGGCUG